UAGUGAAUGAUCUAUCACAACGCCAAGACUCUCUCCCUACCAGUAGAUUAAUAUGUGUGUGUGUGGUGUGUGUGUGCAAUCCCCAGAGGUAUCUCACAGAAACGUCAACUUUCACUAGUGUUGGUGGAGGAGGGACGGGUGUUAGUAACCAAGACUUUCUAAUAGUUCCUGUUUUGGUGUGUGGGGUGAUGUCACCCGUGCAGGUGGUGCCUGUUCUCUGUCGUGACUCACAGAGGUGUACAGGGGAAACUUACCUGUGUUCAUCACUCUCAUAAGGUCGACAGUGCCGCGCCAUCGCUCGAUGUUUCUGAUGUUAGCCGUCUCCUCCACCAUUAUCCUGUAUAGUCAUUAGAAUGGGACUGAUGAACGUUGAUUACAACUAAUGGUUCUACACCACUGGUCUUCCCUUGGCAUGGCCACCUCUAGUUUGGGUUACCAAUAGGUAAAUAAGGUAUUACGACCUGGUCGUCGGGACGGAACACCGUCGUAAGUC